AGAGUUUGAUCCUGGCUCAGAACGAACGCUGGCGGCGUGCUUAACACAUGCAAGUCGAACGGAAUUAGGGGCUUGCUCCUAAUUUAGUGGCGCACGGGUGAGUAACGCGUGGAUAACCUACCCUGGUAUCUGGGAUAACAUCUCGAAAGGGGUGCUAAUACCGGAUAAGCCCACGGGAACUUUGGUUCUUGCGGGAAAAGGUGGCCUCUAUUUAUAAGCUACUGUAUCAGGAUGGGUCCGCGUACCAUUAGCUAGUUGGUAGUGUAAUGGACUACCAAGGCUACGAUGGUUAGCUGGUCUGAGAGGAUGAUCAGCCACACUGGAACUGAGACACGGUCCAGACUCCUACGGGAGGCAGCAGUGGGGAAUUUUGCGCAAUGGGGGAAACCCUGACGCAGCAACGCCGCGUGAGUGAUGAAGGCCUUCGGGUCGUAAAGCUCUGUCAGAGGGGAAGAAGUGU
rnacentral:rRNA from 1 species